AGGCCUAACACAUGCAAGUCGAGCGGUAGAGAGAAGCUUGCUUCUCUUGAGAGCGGCGGACGGGUGAGUAAUGCCUAGGAAUCUGCCUGGUAGUGGGGGAUAACGUUCGGAAACGGACGCUAAUACCGCAUACGUCCUACGGGAGAAAGCAGGGGACCUUCGGGCCUUGCGCUAUCAGAUGAGCCUAGGUCGGAUUAGCUAGUUGGUGAGGUAAUGGCUCACCAAGGCGACGAUCCGUAACUGGUCUGAGAGGAUGAUCAGUCACACUGGAACUGAGACACGGUCCAG
rnacentral:rRNA from 2 species